GAGACGAGGCUGACCUUCUGACCGCGGUGCGUGCGCAGCUGGCCAGCUGGCGUUGGUCCAGUCAGCUGACUGAGGCCCUGGCCAGAGUGCGGUACCUGUACCAGCCACACCACCAGCGGGAGGUCUAGCCUGCGGCGGACAUCAGCUCCAGCGAGGACUAUGGCCGCCGCUGGCCGGUCGCUGCUCCUGUGGUGACUUCCCAGACAGCUACAGCCAGUAUCCCCUCCACACUGCAGCCGUGGUUGGGUUGCUGGCAGCUGGUGAUGGACGCGGCGCAGCGCUGGAGCGGCCCGAUGUGGACGGGGCACGCGCCCGCCAGUAGACGCCACUCGUGCGUUCUGUUCGCCAGAGGCGCUCUGGUGGACACGUCAGUCACAUGGCUGCGGCGGCCGGUGUGUGCGACCAGGCCGUUGUGUCGGCAGGUACGAGUCUGUCACACGGCUGCAGUGGCCGGUCGCAGACUGCUGGCGCCUGCUCCGCGGAGGCCGUCCUGAGGUGCGGCCGGUUAGCAGUCACACAUCACGUGGCCGU
rnacentral:lncRNA from 1 species